rnacentral:rRNA from 1 species
CGCUGGCGGCACGCUUAACACAUGCAAGUCGAACGGAGUAAUUUGGUAUUAUCGGAAUUCUUAGGUGGCGGACGGGUGAGUAACACGUGAGCAACCUGCCUCUGAGAGAGGGAUAGCUUCUGGAAACGGAUGGUAAUACCUCAUAACAUAACGAAGCCGCAUGACUUUGUUAUCAAAGAUUCAUCACUCAGAGAUGGGCUCGCGUCUGAUUAGAUAGUUGGUGAGGUAACGGCUCACCAAGUCGACGAUCAGUAGCCGGACUGAGAGGUUGAACGGCCACAUUGGGACUGAGACACGGCCCAGACUCCUACGGGAGGCAGCAGUGGGGAAUAUUGCACAAUGGGGGGAAAAACCCCUGAUGCAGCGAUGCCGCGUGGAGGAAGAAGGUUUUCGGAUUGUAAACUCCUGUCUUAAAGGACGAUAAUGACGGUACUUUAGGAGGAAGCUCCGGCUAACUACGUGCCAGCCGCCGC